CAAUAAGAGUGUUUUAUGGCACUCUUUCAAAAAAUCCAUACCCGCCUUGUGUGCAAUGUAAAAAAAAAGGAGUUUUCCUGGUGGUUUGGGAGUGAGAGUUGUUUUACAACGCUCAUUUUUUUUUCCUCAAGAGACACUUUUUUUUUCAUUUCCAUUAUACACCUUUCUAUAAGUUUCCUAUUGUCUGAAGUACUUGGAAUAAAUAUAAUUCUAAAAUA
rnacentral:misc_RNA from 1 species